rnacentral:lncRNA from 1 species
UUUGGUUGUGUUAGCUUUCUCCCCCAGUAUUUACCUCUCCGUUGGUUUCGAUAAACGUCGAGUUUUUCCUAGCCGUCCGUUGACGUCUAGUGGUUUAUGUCCCAGUCAUUCAUUAAUGUCUGGUUACCUCUCCAUUGGUUUUGGUAAACGUUGAGUGUUUCCUAUUCGUCCGUUGACGUAUAGUUGUAUUCCUUUCUUGCCAUUCAUCCCUUGAUGUCUGGUCUCCUUCUCCGUUGGUGUCGAUAAACGUCGAGC